AGCGAACGCUGGCGGCAGGCCUAACACAUGCAAGUCGAACGAACCUUUCGGGGUUAGUGGCGGACGGGUGAGUAACACGUGGGAACGUGCCUUUAGGUUCGGAAUAACUCAGGGAAACUUGUGCUAAUACCGAAUGUGCCCUUCGGGUGAAAGAUUUAUCGCCUUUAGAGCGGCCCGCGUCUGAUUAGCUAGUUGGUUGAGGUAAUGGCUCACCAAGGCGACGAUCAGUAGCUGGUCUGAGAGGAUGAUCAGCCACAUUGGGACUGAGACACGGCCCAAACUCCUACGGGAGGAAGCAGUGGGGAAUCUUGCGGAAUGGGCGAAAGCCUGACGCAGCCAUGCCGGGUGAAUGAUGAAGGUCUUAGGAUUGUAAAAUUCUUUCACCGGGGACGAUAAUGACGGUACCCGGAGAAGAAGCCCCGGCUAACUUCGUG
rnacentral:rRNA from 1 species